GACGAACGCUGGCGGCGUGCUUAACACAUGCAAGUCGAACGGAAAGGCCCUGCUUUUGUGGGGUGCUCGAGUGGCGAACGGGUGAGUAACACGUGAGUAACCUGCCCUUGACUUUGGGAUAACUUCAGGAAACUGGGGCUAAUACCGGAUAGGAGCUCCUGCUGCAUGGUGGGGGUUGGAAAGUUUCGGCGGUUGGGGAUGGACUCGCGGCUUAUCAGCUUGUUGGUGGGGUAGUGGCUUACCAAGGCUUUGACGGGUAGCCGGCCUGAGAGGGUGACCGGCCACAUUGGGACUGAGAUACGGCCCAGACUCCUACGGGAGGCAGCAGUGGGGAAUAUUGCACAAUGGGCGGAAGCCUGAUGCAGCAACGCCGCGUGCGGGAUGACGGCCUUCGGGUGGUAAACCGCUUUCGCCUGUGACGAGGCGUGGGUGAGGGUAAUGGGUAAGAAGCACCGGCUAACUACGUG
rnacentral:rRNA from 1 species